AUUGAACGCUGGCGGCAUGCUUUACACAUGCAAGUCGAACGGCCGCGCGGGCUUCGGCCUUGCGGCGAGUGGCGAACGGGUGAGUAAUACAUCGGAACGUGCCCAGUUGUGGGGGAUAGCUCGGCGAAAGCCGGAUUAAUACCGCAUACGACCUGAGGGUGAAAGCGGGGGAUCUUUGGACCUCGCGCUAUUGGAGCGGCCGAUGGCAGAUUAGCUAGUUGGUGGGGUAAAGGCCUACUAAGGCGACGAUCUGUAGCUGGUCUGAGAGGACGACCAGCCACACGGGGUCUGAGACACGGCCCAGACUCCUACGGGAGGCAGCAGUGGGAAAUUUUGGAAAAGGGGCGAAAGCCUGAUCCAGCAAUGCCGCGAGGGUAAAGAAGGCCUGCGGGUUGUAAAGCACUUUUGGCGGGAACGAAAAGGACUGUGCCAAUACCACGGUUCGAGGACGGAACCCGCAGAAUAAGCACCGGCUAACUACGU
rnacentral:rRNA from 1 species